CUCACAUGGGAAGAUUGACAUAGUCAUAUUCAAUUUGGAAAUGACUAAAUUUUCUGUAGACACUGCUGGACAAGUCAUCGAGCAAGGAAUUGAUGGGGAGCUGCAGCGGAAUGGAUGUGCAUAGCACAUCCACUGAAUUAUUAUUUUUGAGGAAGAACUUGAGAGGUCAGAUGUCUGUCUACUUCUUUCAUGUCACAAGAUUUCAUUAUAAAGAAUAACUCACUACAAAUCACAUUCUUCUCCAAAAAGCAGAGCUAACUCCAAAUUAUGUUGCCCCACUUCCUGUGUAACACCAGCCGCUCAGUCUUCAAGAAGGACUUGUCCUGAAGAUCUGCUCACCAACCUUCACUCUCUACUGCUUGUGGAUCAAACCGUGCACCACAGCACCGAGUGGUUUUACCACAGGCAUUGCUCCAUGAGAUUCACUCACCAUAGAAACCCACACUUCACAUUGGCCGUCACAAGUGCUGCCUUUGAGUUUUCUUAAUCUAAAUCCAUGUCUGAUCACCUGCAUUCCUUCCCAAAUAUUCCGUUCUGCCUACUUUGAUCACUCUUGU
rnacentral:lncRNA from 1 species